AGAUGUUGGCUGGUGUGGCCCGUUUGGCCAACCUCCUUCGCACGCUCUGGACAUCCGCCGCCGCCGCCGCGUCCCCGUUCCAUCCCGCCCUAGCGCGCCGUGAGCCUCCACGAUGCACGUCCGCCGCCUAGCACCGCCACGGAGGCCACUCAACGCCAACGCCAAGCCGCCCGACGCGGAACACCACCCCCGCCGCUUUCCCGUCGUACGCGGCCAUCGCGCGCCGCGGGCCUCCGCGGUGUGCGCCACCAGCAUAGCCUCGCCACCGAACUCCGCCGCCGCUCGCCAUCCAACUGCGCCUCUGCCGCUCGCCUUCACCGGCGUGCUGUGGUCGCAGUGGGGCGCCGAGGGGAAGGGACAACAAAGCAUUCCCUAACCCACACCUAAGUGUUGUUUUUUCCAACUUUUUGGUGAUUCUCCGAUGGAUUCCCCUGAUAGCAGAGCAGUUUCACUAGCUAGGCCCUUCCUCACCCCACCACGAGUUCUCCAGCGGCCACGAUCUUUGCCCAUCGCUCAGCCUCAGGCUAUCUCCAGCUCAGUUUAUACAAAUUGAUUCAUGGUUAUUAAUCAGAAGUUGUUUUUGCUACCAUUUGGUGAUUUCUUUUACCAAUUUAUCUUACCCAUAAGUUUAUUUCUCUACGUUUAUUCUUAACAAAUUGACUUGCACCUAAAAAAACAAAUUUACCUGCUUUAGCAGAUUGUGAACAAGAUUGCAAACAAUCAGAUUGUCAUGAGAUGCGGACAUUUAUCAGUAAGUCUGUUUUUUUUUCAUGUGUACUCAACUACGAUAACAUGUUACUUGAAACCACAUUUUUGUUUGGAAACCCACAAAAACAGUAAUCUAUCAUGUGGUGUUGGCAAACCUGUAUGUAUAUACUGGAAACAAUGCAAUAACAGUUUUCAAAUAUUCUGAACUGCUCGUCACUAGAAAAUGUUGCAUUUGUUCUUGUACUUAGACUAAUUCUGCAAUUCCAGUCCAUCCUAUUUUUACAUUUCGAGCUUAUUAUCUUCUUUGUUGUGCAUGGUUGUAUGGAGUAUCCUGUAUUGUUUAAAUGCCAUACAUUGUCCACAUUUUAUGUUUAAGAGUGCAUCCCUGCUUUUUUUAUUUAGCUAUUCAGCCAGAGCCUUAAAGAGAUGUUUAUGUGAGCCUAAAAAUGCAGCAGAGAUCACACAUCUGCAGCUAAGAAAUUUUCAGUAUAGAAAUUGUUUUGAUUUUAAGAAUCUGUGAUAAAAUCCUGUGAGUCUGUAAGAAACCUUGAUCAGUAAGUCUGUUUUUUUUUAUGUGUACUCCACUAUGAUACCAUGUUUCUUGAAACCACAUUUGUUUUUGGAAAACCACAAAAACAGUAAUCUAUCAUGUGAUGUUGGCAAACCUGUAUGUAUAUAUGGGAGGAAAAAAAGUGCAAUAACAGUUUUCAAAUAUUCUGAACCGCUCGUCACUAGAAAAUGUUGCAUUUGUUCUUGUACUUAUACUGAUUAUGCAAUUCCAGUCCAUCAUCCUAUUGUUACAUUUCGAGCUUAUUAUCUUCUUUGUUGUGCAUGGUUGUAUGGAGUAUCCUGUAUUGUUUAGAUGCCAUUUUUUUUAUUCAGCUAUUCAGCUAGAGGCUUAAAGAGAUGUUUAUGUGAGCCUAAGAAUGCAGCAGAGAUCACACAUCUGCAGCUAAGAAAUUUUCAGUAUAGAAAUUGUUUUGAUUUUAAGAAUCUGUGAUAAAAUCCUGCAUGAGUUCGAACUAAUAAGCAUAUUAUCGUGGCUUAUGCUACAUGUCUUUACAGUGCUCGAAAUAAGACGUCUUUUGGUAUGCAAGAAGUACAAUGGUUCACUUUCUGUACUGGAUUCAUAACAUGUUCUGCGAUGACUUAUGUGGCUGAUCAAUUUUAACUCAUUAUUAGUUUAUUACUAAACCAUUUAUCUUUACCCUUUGCUUUCUAACCAUGGUACAAAGCACCGGCUAUAUUUUCGAGUAACACUCAUGUACUUAGUGCAUAUCGUGUUCUCAUUGUCAUUUUUUGGAAUGCGUACAGCUUAUUGGUAGUAAGUUGCUCAUAAAUUCUCAUUACUCUACAUCUUUAUAUUUCUGUUCCACCAUAUGAUUCAUUUAGAGCUCUGUAUUUAGAUUUCUUAGUUCUUAUAGUUUUGUAUCUUUUCACCAAUACUGCAUCUUCGGAACACAUAGCUCCCAACAAUAAGAAAAUUGUUGGAUUUAGAUUUCAUGGCUUCUCAAAUUCUGCAGGCAACUAGCACACAAGAAUUUAGGAAGCUUCCUCCUUCAAUACAUUCACAGGAAUUUAGUACAAACAUGCUUUUUACGACCAAUCUAUAGAAUUGAGAUGUGGGAAAGCAAUGCAUAGAAAUUUACUUGUAUCAUUUCAUUUAUCCAAGAGGCUACUAUAGAUUGAAAUCCCACAAAACGCAUAUGAAAAUCUUUGAAUCCAAAUGGGCCCUUAGUAUUCCUGUUGCUUCGUAGGGAGGUACUUUCAGGACGAGACUACUUGUAUUUAGACUACAUGUGCAGAUAUUAAGGCCACCAUAUAUAUUAAGGCCUUGUCUAGAUUGUACGAAUUUCAAGGAAUUUUCUUGUAGGAUUCCAAUCGUUGGGAAAUUCUUCCAUAGAUGCCCUUUCGAUUGUAGAUUUGUUUUCUAGAAGUACAUGCAAACCACUGCAUGCAUAUGUAUUACUCCCUCCGUCCUAUAUUAAGUGACUUUCUAUUACAUGUAUCUAGAUGCUUUUUAGGCAUAGAUACAUCCAUAUUUGGACAAAUUUGAAUCACUUAAUAUGAGAGUAGAAGGAAGAAAAUGUCACACCUGUCUAACAGGACACACAACAUUAAGCGACCGAUAUAUGUAGGACCACUCUGAUUUGUUUUCACCUUGAGACCUCCCAGACAGGCACUUUGAGGCUGGCGUUGCGAAAGACAUUGUCUAUCUCUGACCGGAUCCUGAUGAGUGCCAACGUGUCGUUGCGUUCGGUUGUAGCCGGACCCUCUCGCUCCAGCCUCGUUGUUACUGCUACCGCCACGGAGAACGUCCAUGAGAUUGUCGUUGUUGUCAUGGAAGUUGACGACGUCAUGGCCGGUGCUAGCGCCAGCUCUAGUGGCUAGCAAAACCUCGGAAUUUGUCACAGUCGGUGGCGUCUGCACAGAAGACGGAGGCAGAAACGGAACAAGGCUGACAGACAUGGCGGCGUCUUCAUCAAAGACGGCGGUGGAGAAAGGACGUUGCCGGCCAUGCCUGUAGGUGUACACGGUGCCACCAUCAUGAGGAUACAUGGCGAAAUGGCCGCCACCUUUCCUUUCCUUUCCUGCCCCCAGAACACGAAAUUCAGCUGAUGUACUACUACCUUAGGAGGCCGCGUGCAGGUACGUGCCCCCUAUACGAUGAGUAUGGCAAGGAAGGACAUGACUUGCGGCAUCCGAAUUCUGACGGCCGACGGAGAUGUGUGAAACAUGGGGCUGUAUGCCUAAGGGAUGAGUAAGAAGAGAGACGAUGGUGAAAAAGGGUCAUGACAACUAGAAAGGGCCAAAAGAAGCUGGGAAGGUAGGCAAAGGAAGCCAAGAGCAGUACAAUGGAGAGCCCUACAGAGACGGGGUGUAUAUUUAUACAGUAGCUCUAUACAAUGGAAAAAUGUGUAUACAUUUAUGCUGACGUUCUAACAAUUAUGUUGAUAUCCCAAAAAGAUGCAAAAUCACAGGAAAAGAAUGUACUCGACCA